UUAUAAUAAUAAUUUAUAUGAAAUAAAUUUAUUAUCAUUAUUAUAUUUGUAUAUAAGCUGAGAAGAGUUGAUGCCACCAGUGGUGGAAGAAACCCAUGUAGCAUCAAUUUCUGAUAUAACUUCUUUAAACUUCAAUAAAACAAAAAUGUGCAAGACAUGCAGAAAGUUAUAUAAAGAUGAUGUAGAGAGGGUGCAAAACUUUAAUUGCUUGCAUUGUUAUUAUGUACAACAUAUAGAAAAUGGAAACGACCAUAUUUUAAACUAUCGUAAGAAACUGCUAAAACACUAACUUAUGUGAUAUAAAACAGCACUCGGAGCAGU
rnacentral:lncRNA from 1 species